rnacentral:rRNA from 1 species
UAUUGCACAAUGGGCGCAAGCCUGAUGCAGCCAUGCCGCGUGUGUGAAGAAGGCCUUCGGGUUGUAAAGCACUUUCAGUCAGGAGGAAAGGUUAGUAGUUAAUACCUGCUAGCUGUGACGUUACUGACAGAAGAAGCACCGGCUAACUCCGUGCCAGCAGCCGCGGUAAUACGGAGGGUGCGAGCGUUAAUCGGAAUUACUGGGCGUAAAGCGUACGCAGGCGGUUUGUUAAGCGAGAUGUGAAAGCCCCGGGCUCAACCUGGGAACUGCAUUUCGAACUGGCAAACUAGAGUGUGAUAGAGGAUGGUAGAAUUUCAGGUGUAGCGGUGAAAUGCGUAGAGAUCUGAAGGAAUACCGAUGGCGAAGGCAGCCACCUGGGUCAACACUGACGCUCAUUACGAAG